GGGAACGUGUGCAAAAUGGCGAC
rnacentral:piRNA from 1 species